GUGGGGAAUAUUGCGCAAUGGGGGAAACCCUGACGCAGCAACGCCGCGUGAGUGAUGAAGGCCUUCGGGUCGUAAAGCUCUGUCAGGUGGGAAGAACACGGCAGUCUCUAACAUGGAUUGCCUAUGACGGUACCACCAGAGGAAGCACCGGCUAACUCCGUGCCAGCAGCCGCGGUAAUACGGAGGGUGCAAGCGUUGUUCGGAAUCACUGGGCGUAAAGCGCGUGUAGGCGGCCCAUUAAGUCAGGUGUGAAAUCCCUUAGCUCAACUAAGGAAUUGCAUCUGAAACUGGUGGGCUUGAGUACGGGAGAGGAGAGUGGAAUUCCCGGUGUAGAGGUGAAAUUCGUAGAUAUCGGGAAGAACACCGGUGGCGAAGGCGGCUCUCUGGACCGAUACUGACGCUGAGACGCGAAAGCGUGGGGAGCAAACAGGAUUAGAUACCCGAGUAGUCC
rnacentral:rRNA from 1 species